rnacentral:rRNA from 1 species
UACGGAGGGGGCUAGCGUUGUUCGGAAUUACUGGGCGUAAAGCGCACGUAGGCGGCUUUGCAAGUUAGAGGUGAAAGCCCGGGGCUCAACCCCGGAAUUGCCUUUAAAACUGCAUCGCUAGAAUUGUGGAGAGGUAAGUGGAAUUCCGAGUGUAGAGGUGAAAUUCGUAGAUAUUCGGAAGAACACCAGUGGCGAAGGCGACUUACUGGACACAUAUUGACGCUGAGGUGCGAAAGCGUGGGGAGCAAACAGG